rnacentral:rRNA from 1 species
UACGUAGGGUCCGAGCGUUGUCCGGAAUUAUUGGGCGUAAAGAGCUCGUAGGCGGUUUGUCGCGUCUGCUGUGAAAUCCCGAGGCUCAACCUCGGGUCUGCAGUGGGUACGGGCAGACUGGAGUGCGGUAGGGGAGAAUGGAAUUCCUGGUGGUAGCGGUGGAAUGCGCAGAUAUCAGGAGGAACACCGAUGGCGAAGGCAGUUCUCUGGCCGUAACUGACGCUGAGGAGCGAAGCGUGGGAGCGAACAGG